rnacentral:rRNA from 1 species
AUGGCGAGCGAUUUUGUUCCUCGUCAGACUACACACCGACGCCGGUUCGUUUUCUCGCCUGUUCGCCUCCACAGAUCGGCCGAUCGGGGCAUCCGGCGACUGCGAAUCUGCGACAGCUGCCACCGGCGGAUGCUGGCACAUAGGGUGCGUUGGCAAAGAAUAGCAGGGGACAAAGCUUGGUUAGAAGAUGAUAUUGUCUCCAAAGAUCCAGAACUGUAUCUGUAUCCCGAGGAGGGUGAGAUGGAGCUAGUUGCGAAGUGCAAGAUUUUCCAAGGCCCAGUUUUGGGGUUAUCUUCCAAUGAUCUGCAUCCGUAUUGGAUUGCUACUGCUGCUCCAGGUGAGAGCAUCUAUUCAACUAUUUGCCUUAUCACUUGUUCAGUUUGUCUAUGUUUUUUUCAGCUUAACGAUUUCGGAUCAGUGAAAGAGGAGAAGGUGCAGAUGACAUCCCUAAAAUGGAAUAAGAUAUACCCUACAGCCCUGGCUGCCACGAGCAGCAAAGGCACCACAAAGGUCUGGGAUCUCAGAGCUGCAAAGCUGAUGACAGCAUUCGGCAAUACAAAAGUCAAGAGCCUCUCAGAUCUGGAGUUCAGCUGGAAUAAUCCCAUGCACUUGGCCGUUUCAACCGCAAACAAUGGUACUUCAGCAGCUGUGACGGUUUGGGACAUGAGAUUCAGCCGCACGCCCUAUCAUGAGUACAGCACCGGUACCUCAGGUGUAAACUGUCUCUCUUGGAAUCGGUCUGGCCAACUUCUUGCGUCUCAUACCGACGGUACGAUAAGCUGCUGUGAUGUAUACAGCAAGGAGAUGAUACAGGGGUUGACUAGGGCUUGGCAUGGUGAUCUGGGUGUCACUUGGACACACUCUGAGAAUGCAUUUGCCACACUGUCCUCAAAGUAUGGAGUCAGGCUGCAUGAGAUGAGUGACCAGAGGAUUUACCCGUGA